rnacentral:rRNA from 1 species
ACGCUCGACACCUACGGAAGGCAGCAGUGGGGAAUAUUGCACAAUGGAGGAAACUCUGAUGCAGCGACGCCGCGUGAGGGAAGAAGGUCUUCGGAUUGUAAACCUCUGUUGUCAGGGACGAUGAUGACGGUACCUGACGAGGAAGCCACGGCUAACUACGUGCUAGCAGCCGCGGUAAUCUGAGCGGGCUGGCAAGGC